UGCCUCUUCGCUUUCCCAAGUUUUUCUAAGCCAACAGCAGAAAAACAGUUCAUCUCAUUCUAAAAUGCGCUCGCGAGUUAACACACUAUGGUCCUCUACAGAAAGUUCAUCCGGCAGCAUCAAAUUUCACCCCGGAUGACGGAUUCCCAUGGAGACGGUGUCCGACGGUGUUAUCCAAUUGGAUUCUAAUUCAUCGGUCGUAUGCAGUUUCAAUAAACCGACUCGUCGUUUUCUGUGCAUUGCCGGCACCAACAGGAAUGAUCUUCCGCAGCAUCCAUCGAGUGCAUUUUGCCCCAGCUAAGAUCCCAACGACGCCGGUGCCGUGCUAGGGUCAUAUGUUCCGGAUAGAAUGGAUCCCGCCCACUGCUGAUAAGAACAAUAAUUCGCUAGAUUGACUUUGAAGAGAAUUAAUCAUGUUUAUGCUAAUUACUGUGGAUUUUCCAGUGGGCUCAACAGCCUUUCCUGCCUCAGAGAAGUCA